rnacentral:rRNA from 1 species
CCUACGGGAGGCAGCAGUGAGGAAUAUUGGUCAAUGGGCGAGAGCCUGAACCAGCCAAGUCGCGUGAGGGAGUACUGCCCUAUGGGUUGUAAACCUCUUUUGUCGGGGAGCAAAAGCCGGACGUGUCCGGCUGUGAGAGUACCCGAAGAAAAAGCAUCGGCUAACUCCGUGCCAGCAGCCGCGGUAAUACGGAGGAUGCGAGCGUUAUCCGGAUUUAUUGGGUUUAAAGGGUGCGUAGGCGGAACAUUAAGUCAGCGGUAAAAUCGAGGGGCUCAACCCCUUUAAGCCGUUGAAACUGGUGAUCUUGAGUGGGCGAGAAGUAUGCGGAAUGCGUGGUGUAGCGGUGAAAUGCAUAGAUAUCACGCAGAACUCCGAUUGCGAAGGCAGCAUACCGGCGCCCGACUGACGCUGAGGCACGAAAGCGUGGGGAUCGAACAGGAUUAGAUACCCUUGUAGUC